rnacentral:lncRNA from 1 species
UAUUGCCCAUGGUUUCAUUUCCACAAGGUGAUGGAGAAACAGAGAGAGGAAGAACUUGGGGACGCUCUGAUCGAAAUUCCAGGUUGUGCGACAGAGGUAAGCUCUGGAGCUUUUAAGAGAAAUGUGAUUGCUUGAGGAUCGGAAGCCAGAUUACUUGGAUCAAGAAACUUCCACCAGCCAAGAAGGAAUUGAAAAUGUCAGUAACAUAAAGGAUGGUUAUAAUCCUGCAACUUGGAUGUUGGACGUCACCAGUUCGGCGAAAGAAAUAGCUUAUGGUGUUGAUUUUGCUGGUGUUUAUAAAAAAUCAGAGCUAUACAGGAGAAACAGAACACAUGCUGAAUAACUGAGCACCCCUCCUCCAGGUUCAAAGGACCUGUAUUUCCAUACACAAUACUCAACCGUUUUUAACACACUGCAUGGCUUGCUUAUGGAAACAACAUGGGUCAUAUUGGAGCAAUCCACCAUAUACUGCCAUAAAGUUGAUAUACACAACCAUCAUAGCCUUAAUGUUGCGGACAAUUUUCUGGGCCCUUGGCUCCAAAACGUUUUGCCGAUUUUCAAUCAGUGCUUACUACGUUAACACGCUACAGGUAUGAUCAUCAGUCGAAUGAGGGUCAUUGCUGAAGUUAGGCAUGCGGAUCUAUUUCACUCGGCCAAUGUAGCAUCAAUUCAAGGUGCCAGCUCUUGUGCACAAUGUAAAGAUACAAGAAUGUACUAGCAGCUGCUUUUUAUGAGCGAAACUGGAUUGUGCUAGCAGCAGACUUUCUAUUGCUGAUGAAGGUACUUUUGUAUACUAGGAGGUCUGAAAGUCUGAAAGAUUGGAGAAAGAGGUUCCAUUGAGUAACGCUUUGAUUUGGGGAGAUAGGGAUAAAAGGAAAAUGAAAAAUGUAAUGAGAAGCAAGGCAAGAAGGAGCUCCUUAUUUGAGAAACAGUUUAGAAUUCUGACUGUUGUAUAAAUAGUGGGAGAUACAAACUUUUGAUUGAGGUCAUAUUCACACCGAACCUUUCAUUGAGAUCAUAUUUGUUGAUAACACUUC